UACGUAGGGGGCUAGCGUUGUCCGGAAUCAUUGGGCGUAAAGAGCGUGUAGGCGGCCCGGUAAGUCCGCUGUAAAAGUCAAAGGCUCAACCUUUGAAUGUCAGUGGAUACUGCCGGGCUAGAGUCCGGAAGAGGCGAGUGGAACUCCUGGUGUAGCGGUGAAAUGCGCAGAUAUCAGGAGGAACACCGGUGGCGAAGGCGGGUCUCUGGGCCGUAACUGACGCUGAGGAGCGAAAGCGUGGGGAGCGAACAGG
rnacentral:rRNA from 1 species